AUACAGUUAAAUGGCAGAACCACACGUGUGACCCUACACGUGCGAUGGCAAGUAGCAGCUCAAGUAAAGAUCGCAAGCAACACGUGGAUAGUGGCGAUUAAAAGAUUCCCUUGGCCGUUAGAAGCGUUGGAGCUAGCUUAAAAGAGCAAUGUUUAGCUCAUUCUUAUCAUUAUCGCAUUUGAUAUUUUUCUAGACUCUUCUUCUUCUCUGUAAUCCGAAUCUGAGAUCACUGGGUUUCUCUCCUCGUGAGGGCCAGUGAGUAAUCUUACCGAGUUUAAUGAACUUCGUUUGAUUAUCGUUUGUGUUACGGUGUUGGAUUUCCAGUGAUUGUUAUUUGUGUUGAUUUGUGG
rnacentral:lncRNA from 1 species